rnacentral:rRNA from 1 species
ACUUAGUGACCGAUAGCGAAUAGUACUGUGAAGGAAAGGUGAAAAGGACCCCGGGAGGGGAGUGAAAGAGAACCUGAAACCCUGUGUCUACAAGCUGUGGAACUGCUUUAUAUGCACGACCGCGUACUUUUUGUAGAACGGUCCGGCGAGUUACGCUUACUGGCAAGGUUAAGCACUUCAGGUGCGGAGCCGUAGGGAAACCAAGUCUUAAGAGGGCCUUAAGUCAGUAGGAGUAGACCAGAAACCGGGUGAUCUAUCCAUGUCCAGGUUGAAGCUGCCGUAAGAGGUAGUGGAGGACCGAACCCACAUCCGUUGAAAAGGGUGGGGAUGAGGUGUGGAUAGGGGAGAAAUUCCAAUCGAACCCGGAGAUAGCUGGUUCUCCUCGAAAUAGCUUUAGGGCUAGCCUCGAUACAGAUUUGCGGAGGUAGAGCACUGAAUUUCCUAGGGGGCGUCAAAGCCUACCGAAGAAUAUCAAACUCCGAAUGCCGCGUAAUCGAUUAUCGGGAGUCAGACUGCACGAGAUAAGUUGGGCGGUCAAAAGGGAAAGAGCCCAGACCUUCAGUUAAGGUCCCCAAGUGCGCGUUAAGUGGAAAAGGAUGUGGGAUUUCGAAGACAACCAGGAUGUUGGCUCAGAAGCAGCCAUCCAUUCAAAGAGUGCGUAAUAGCUCACUGGUCGAGAGGUCCUGCGCCGAAAAUGUCCGGGGCUGAAACGCGCCACCGAAACUAAGGAACCGAAAGGUUGGUAGAGGAGCAUUGCAUGCGGAACGAAGCAGUACCGUAAGGAGCUGUGGACUGCAUGGAAGAGAGAAUGCCGGAAUGAGUAGCGAGAAUAAGGUGAGAAUCCUUAUGGCCGAAUAUCCAAGGUUUCCAGAGUAAAGCUGAUCUGCUCUGGGUAAGUCGGGGCCUAAGGCGAGGACGAGAGUCGUAGCCGAUGGACAACAGGUGGAGAUUCCUGUACUGCGGUAUGACAGAACUGUGGGGACACGUAAGGAAAGCGGAAGCCGGGAAUGGAAAGCCCGGUGCAAGCGGGGUACCAGUCACUUUGGCAAAUCCGGGUGGCAAUGGGAAGCCGUGAUGCGGAGCGAAAUAAAGUAGCGAAGUCCGUGAGCCAUGCGUCAAGAAAAGCCGCUAUUGUUUGUACCGUACCCGUACCGUAAACCGACACAGGUGGAUGAGGAGAGAAUCCUAAGGCCGGCGGAAGAAGCAUUGUCAAGGAACUCGGCAAAAUGGCCCCGUAACUUAGGGAUAAGGGGUGCCUGGGAAACCAGGCCGCAGAGAAUAGGCUCAAGCAACUGUUUAGCAAAAACACAGGUCUAUGCGAAACCGAAAGGUGAGGUAUAUGGGCUGACGCCUGCCCGGUGCUGGAAGGUUAAGAGGAGAGGUUAGCGGUAACGCGAAGCUUUGAAUUUAAGCCCCAGUAAACGGCGGCCGUAACUAUAACGGUCCUAAGGUAGCGAAAUUCCUUGUCGGGUAAGUUCCGACCCGCACGAAAGGCGUAAUGAUUUGAGCGCUGUCUCGACAAUGCAUCCGGUGAAAUUGAAGUACCAG